rnacentral:rRNA from 1 species
UUCGCAAUGCCCGAAAGGGUGACGAAGCGACGCCGCGUGUGGGAAGAAGGCCUUCGGGUUGUAAACCACUGUCGGGAGUUAAGAAAUGCAAGGAUAUGAAUAGUGUCUUUGCUUGACUAAGGCUCCGGAGGAAGCCACGGCUAACUCUGUGCCAGCAGCCGCGGUAAUACAGAGGCGGCAAGCGUUGUUCGGAAUUAUUGGGCGUAAAGAGCACGUAGGCGGCUAUGUAAGUCGGUUGUGAUAGCCUUCCGCUCAACGGGAGAACAGCAUCCGAUACUGCAUGGCUUGAGUGCGGGAGGGGAGAGUGGAACUUCUGGUGGAGCGGCGAAAUGCGUAGAUAUCAGAAGGAACGCCGGCGGCGAAAGCGGCUCUCUGGCCCAUAACUGACGCUGAGUGUGCGAAAGCUAGGGGAGCAAACGGGAUUAGAUACCCCGGUAGUCCUAGCCGUAAACGAUGGGCACUAAGUAGAGGGGUUUU